rnacentral:rRNA from 1 species
CCUACGGGAGGCAGCAGUGGGGAAUAUUGGACAAUGGGCGAAAGCCUGAUCCAGCCAUGCCGCGUGUGUGAAGAAGGCCUUCGGGUUGUAAAGCACUUUCAGUGGGGAAGAAAGCCUUGGGGCUAAUACCCUCGAGGAAGGACAUCACCCACAGAAGAAGCACCGGCUAACUCCGUGCCAGCAGCCGCGGUAAUACGGAGGGUGCGAGCGUUAAUCGGAAUUACUGGGCGUAAAGCGCGCGUAGGCGGUCUGAUAAGCCGGUUGUGAAAGCCCCGGGCUCAACCUGGGAACGGCAUCCGGAACUGUCAGGCUAGAGUGCAGGAGAGGAAGGUAGAAUUCCCGGUGUAGCGGUGAAAUGCGUAGAGAUCGGGAGGAAUACCAGUGGCGAAGGCGGCCUUCUGGACUGACACUGACGCUGAGGUGUGAAAGCGUGGGUAGCAAACAGGAUUAGAUACCCGAGUAGUC